UACGUAGGGUGCGAGCGUUGUCCGGAAUUAUUGGGCGUAAAGAGCUCGUAGGCGGUUUGUCGCGUCGACUGUGAAAACCCGAGGCUUAACCUCGGGCCUGCAGUCGAUACGGGCAGACUAGAGUUCGGUAGGGGAGACUGGAAUUCCUGGUGUAGCGGUGAAAUGCGCAGAUAUCAGGAGGAACACCGAUGGCGAAGGCAGAUCUCUGGGCCGUAACUGACGCUGAGGAGCGAAAGCAUGGGGAGCGAACAGG
rnacentral:rRNA from 1 species